rnacentral:lncRNA from 1 species
ACUCUAUCAAAAGCAGACAAGAAAGGCCAAUGAGAGAAGCGUCUUACUGGGCCUAAUGCUUCGACCUCCCAAUAAGGAGGUCUUCUUGCCUCAGUCUCCUGGGAUUAAAGGCAUGUACUACCUUGCCUGGGCCCAAGCUUUUCAUGGCCACUGUGCCUCAAGAUCUCCAUGUCAAGAUCCAGGUCAGAAACUUGUGUCUUCCAGCCUCAAGAUCUGGAUCACAGUUCAUUCCAGAUAUCGUCAAGCUGACAAGGAAUAGCCAUCACAGUCCUCCUACCUCUGCUUCUCGAAUGGCGUGGGAUUCCAGAGAGCCGUGGUGGUCCUCUCUGGGUGGACUGAGGAGCCUCUGUAGGUAGGAUGUUCCUGUGGGUGGAACUCUCCAGGAUCCACCACUCAGACCCUGAAGCAGAUGGGCCCCCUGCGUGUAAAGUUGGCACAUGAUGUUCCCAAGGGCAACCCAAGGCUGGGUGGGACCUGUGUGGCCAGGGAAGGGAGCCUCAGUACACCAGACUCAGUAUCCUUCACUUUGUAUAGAAGGCGGAGCUGAUAGCAGAAGUCCUUGGAGAGGAGGGCUAGUGAGGUGACUCAGCAGGUGAAGAUGCUGGCUGCCCUACCAAACUACUAGUCCGUGUGGGACUGUCCUCGGGGCGAUGCGGAAGUGCCUGCACUGCCGGAGGCGCUAGCUGAUGGAGGCCAACACCAAAGAAUGACCAUCAUCUCCCCCACCAACGCUGGCGAACCUUUCUCUUUUCUCCUGGGUAAUAAUACUGUGUCCCAGGCUUGCUCAGCGGGUGGCCAUAGGAGUCUGGGAGACCCGGUCCAGUGGACAGGGUUUUGGGGUUCCGCUUAGAGUUGCUUCAGUCUAUAGAAAGCUGAGCCGGGCUCUGCCUCUUCUAUCGCAUGACCCCCACCCGGUGGUGGUGUCCCCAAGAGGAGAUCACCCGGAUUCCCCCCACCCCCUUCUACCUCUGCGCAGAGGGAACGCUGCUACUUUCGGAGUUGUACUCCUUGGUCCGGGAUAUUCCUAGACCCUGCGCCUGAGGGGCUGGGAGCGCAGCGCUUUGUUAUUCAGCCGGAAAGAUGCCCCAAGAAUUAAAAGACUUUAUAAAAUGUAGGUUGACUACACCACCUGCACCUGCCUUCAUUGUUGCUCUCUCACAGAAUUUCAGAAAUGCGCUAGGCCUCCUGGUGCAUGCCUAUAAUCCGAAGGCAGGACUCCUGGGGUUUGAGGCCCUGUGACACGUAGAAAGACCUUGUUUCAAGAAAUUUAGAAAUACCAGCAUAUUAAAGACGCCUCCCCCCCCCCAAAAAAAAGACAUAUCCAAAACUAUGGGUCUUUGGGCUUUUGUACGACUCCUAUUAGGAGUUACGAACACGUGUGAAAUUACCUCAGAUAGGGGACCAAAAACAAACGAAACAACAUUGCUCCUAAAUCCAACUUGUUGAGCAAAUAAGUAAAUUACAGUCUGGGAACUGAUACUCUCAGAAGAGGGGGGAAAAUCACAUCUAUAUUAAAGAUUUUGCAAUACCAA